rnacentral:lncRNA from 1 species
AAGGGAUUAAUGCCCGUUUUCACCAACAACCUCUUACCGUUUCCCUAUCUAAAAGCUACUUUUAAUAAGGACCCCUCCCAAUUUGACACCUACCUAAAUUCAUUUUCACCACACUUGUACAUGGAUCCCUUAAAUAAGUUUAUUUUGGCAGAGAAGAGAAAACGAGGAUAAACCUUUCUUGCAGAAGAAAAAGACAAGCUAGUGAAAUUGCUGACGUCUCAUAGAGACACAAUAUUAUACAAAAAACGGAUGGGACCACGAACGAAGCCAAAAACAAAGCUUGGAUCCAGUUACAAAUAGUUUUAAUGCGAUAGGAACCGUUUACAGUUUCAGGUGGUGCGAGAAAUUGGAAAGACGUGUAAAAACAUGCUGCGCCCAGCCCACCUCAAAUUGAAUUGGUGCAGGAGGAUGAUGAUAAUGUUUGGUACAUCAUAUGUGGACUAAUAUUAAAAUAUUUGUUUACUAUCUUUGUUUUAAUUUAUAUAUUUUAUUAUGUUCAAUAUUAGCCUACUUCUUACCUCCAGAGGGUAUCCCCUAUCACCUAGGAGAUAGGCUCCUCCAUAU